UACGGAGGACCCGAGCGUUAUCCGGAUUUAUUGGGUUUAAAGGGUGCGUAGGCGGACUAAUAAGUCAGUGGUGAAAGCCUCUCGCUUAACGGGAGAAUUGCCAUUGAUACUGCUAGUCUUGAGUACGGUUGAGGUGGGCGGAAUGUGUCAUGUAGCGGUGAAAUGCUUAGAUAUGACACAGAACACCAAUUGCGAAGGCAGCUCGCUAAACCGUAACUGACGCUGAGGCACGAAAGCGUGGGUAGCAAACAGG
rnacentral:rRNA from 1 species